UAAACAUUGCAUAACAUAGUUCAACAUCACGACUGAAGUAUACGAUGUUUA
rnacentral:pre_miRNA from 1 species